CGGGGGAGGCCGGAUCCUGGGCUGUGUCCCCGGUGCCCUGUGCUCCAGAACCUGCGCUGUUGGAUUCGCGCUUGGGGGGCUGCGCAGCCCCCU
rnacentral:pre_miRNA from 1 species